rnacentral:rRNA from 1 species
AUGUGUAUUAUAUUUGCCACCACAAUGAGGGAAUUAAUUUCAUGUAAAUCGGCCAGCCACAGCUCCAAGAAUACGCGGAGGAGGUGGCCCGGGUCAGCAUCGGCGCGGUCCGGCGCGGGCCACGGGCCUGCUUCCAAGUGCGUCUGCGCGCCGGCCACCCACGUCGGGUCCUUCAAGUGCCGCUUCCACCGCACCAACUCCCAGGGCCAGGGAAGCCGCACUAGUAGAAAAAGGGCCCAUUGUCCCGGUUGGUAA